rnacentral:rRNA from 1 species
UACGAAGGGUGCAAACGUUGCUCGGAAUUAUUGGGCGUAAAGCGCACGUAGGCGGCUUUUCAAGUCCCAUGUGAAAUCCCACGGCUUAACCGUGGAAGUGCAUGGGAAACUGGAAGCUUGAGUACUUAAGAGGAUCGCGGAAUUCCCGGUGUAGAGGUGAAAUUCGUAGAUAUCGGGGAGGAACACCAGUGGCGAAGGGCGGCGUCUGGGGAAGAUACUGACGCUGAGGUGCGAAAAGCGUGGGGAGCAAACAGG